rnacentral:lncRNA from 1 species
UUUUUUUUUUUUUUUUUUUUUAGGGUUGAUGUUAUAAAUAUCUGAAUACUAGGUUGGAAAAAAAUAAUCAAAUUUCAAAAACUGUCUGCUGAUACAACUAAGUAGGUUAAUUCGACAUACCUAAAUUUAACCUCUUAGAAACAGCAAAAGCACAAACUAAAGAGUUUGUUUGUGCUUUAUACAUUUUCACUCUUUGCAAAAUAUGGCCGCUCUGCCCAUUAUACGUCGCAUGCGGAUGGAAGAUUUUGCACAAAUCAAUUUAAUGCCAAAAAAAAAUUCAUUUAGCACAAAAUAUCACAUAACUUACCCAAUAUGGAACUCAAAUAGCACUAUAACCUAUCAAAAAAAUAAGCUCUUCUUUAGGAUGUAUAUUUUGACCCAAAAACAAUGGUACUAAUUGUUUCAAAUAUGUAUCUUCAAAAAAAAGGAAAGCAAGGAUUCAGCUCAAGUUUCAACUCAAUAAACACUAUACCUUGAUGACUAAUUGCCUGAGAUUUUAUGAUAUAAACACCAUGCUUGCAUAUAAAUAAAUGAUUAAAGUCUUGUAACAUCACUUGGCAUGUAGAAUAAUUCACAAAUGUACAAGUUUUCACUGACCAUAAUAAAAGAAUAUGCGUAAAAAAGCUUGUUUAUAGAUAUAGCCAUUUAGGCUUCAACAAGAACCUCAGAAAUGGUAGAAGGGGAGAAACUUGUGAAGGAGAAGAGAGGCAAAAAACAAUACAAGAACUCUUUCACUAGGGUUUUUAUGCAUUUUAUACUGAGUUUCUUGAAGGUGCUGGAGAAGAUACUUUGAUUCUAGGGCUGAGGGCAGCGGGUAGGGUGGCAGGGCAGCUGCAGCCU